rnacentral:lncRNA from 1 species
CAGAUAGACACAUACACAUACAUUUGUGGAGUUUCUGUCUCUUCCCAUACAAUACCCUAGAUCACCUCCAGAUUUUAGCAACAAUAAGGCCACUACUAGAUGUGCCACCUCAACCAUGUACCUCCAGAAAUGUGAGCCAAAAUGAAACACUUCUCAUUAUAAAGUAGCCUACCUCAGUUUUUUCAUUGUAGUAAGGAAAAAUGAUGCGUUUUGACAAAUGUGUACUCUCUUAUAACCCACACCUCCAACAAUAUUUAGAACAUUUUUAACUCUAAAAAAUUCCCUUAUUCCUCUUCCUAAUUAUCACCCCUUCCAGAAGCAAAUGCUCUUCUGGUUUUUGUUUUUCAUGUUACAUUUGUUUUUCUACCCAAGAUUUUUAAUAUAGUUUUUUGAAAUCUAGUCAGGAAAUUCAUAUAUAAAAAUCAUGGAAUGUGUUUAUUGUGUCUAGCUUUUUCACUCAGCAUAAUGAUAGUAUCUAUCAGAUUUAUCCAUGUUUGGGGAUAUAUGCACAUUUCUUUUUCUUGUGGAUAGUUUUUCAUUGUUUGAAGAUAUUACACUUGGCUUAUCCAUUCUUUUUAGAAUAUCUGUAGUUUUAGCUUUUAUAUUUAUGUCCAUGAUUUACUUUGAUGUAGAGGUUAUGUUUCUGUUACCUGAAUGUUCCCCAAAGCCUCUUGUGUUCAUAGGUGGGGCUUUUGGAAGGUGAUUGGAUUAUAGAAGCCUGAUAAUCAUCAGCAAAUUACUCUGUUGAACCCAGAACCUCAUGCUGGACAGAUGCUACCACUGAGCUACAGCCCCAGCCCAAGGAACUAUCUUCUUGAGAUGGCUUACUUACAAAUUUGCAGACUUCUGCAAGAAUAACUCUACUCUCAUAGUCACUCAAGAGCCUAUUUGAGCCUCUAAGUGCACUGAGAAUAAGUUUUCAGAAACCAGAAUUAUUUGUAAGUGAAUCAAGAUCAUUCUCUGCUCUCAAGCUCUCACUUUCUUGCUAUGUAGCCAUUGCUACAGCUGGUCAGUUUGUGCAUUUGACCAAUAUAUAAUCUAUCAUCUUGGAAUACAGGAAAUAAAAGUUAUAUAAUAUACCUUUUCUUUUUUACAAAAACAGAAAAAAAAAGUCAUCAACAGUGUCACAAAAUUCCAACCCUCUAAAACUUUGUCAGAGAUGACUGUAACUUUUAACAAUUCUUCAUCAACAAAGAAAUGAUUGGCUAGAAAAUUUCUGGAGAGUUGUACAUAGCUGCUGGGUCAAGCUCUGGGACAAGAGAUUUAUAGAGAUGUUAGGAUUUUGCCAUGAGCGUAGUCAGCGUUCAGAAGUGUAUGUGAAGGACCUGCUGUCUGUAGUUACUUGUAUGUAUAGCCAACCUUUGAUCUCUUUAUACUCUUACAAGACUGGGAUGAUAUUAGUCUGGUCUCUGAUUGGGUGGAUACCUUCCUCCAACUGAGUUUUAUUAUUUAUUUAUUUAUUUAUUUUGGUACCGGGGAUCGAACUCAGGACCUUGUGCUUGCAAGGCAGGCAGCGGAACCACUGAGCCAAAUCCCCAGCCCAUGAGUUUUAUUUUUAAUACUGUUGGUUUAUACUCAAAGGCACAGUGAAAAAAAAAAAAGCCCAAGAUAAAUUUUCUUAUAGUAUUGUACUUUAAUAAUAUAUUUUAUCUUAUUCCCCAUUCAGUAGUCUUGAUUUAUAAAAUGAGUAACAAAACUUUGUCUUGGAACUCAGUAGCUAGGAAAAAUUACUUCCUUUAAGGAACUAUGGGCUCCUUUGGAAAAUGGCAACCAUGUAACUGGUUAGGGCACUUUGUUACCAGGAAGCUCAGUGUUUUAAUUUGUUCAACAGUGUUUUUAAUGCCUGUAAUUUUCCAUCCUCCGGUCUCAAUCUCUUGAGUAGCUGGGAUUACAGGUAUGUGCCACCACCCAGGUUCCUGGGACCCUAUUUUAUACUAAAAACAUUUAUACUUAUAAAUACUUAUUUUAAAAUUUACUGGCUCUUUUAGAGUUGUUCAAAUCUCUGUUCAGUGAAAAGGUGGUAGAAGUAAAUGUUAAAAAAAAAAUCACAAAGGGAUCUGGAUCAGAAACAAAAGUGAAAUGACUCCAUGCAAUUCCCAUGGAAUUACUUCCUUAGUAGUGAAAUCAAUGCACUGUAGUUUACCCCUUGAGAAUUAAGCCUGGGGUUCUUUUUCUUUCCUGACUAAAUGUAACCUUGGGAAAGUCGGCUAGAAUCUCUGCCCUGGGGAGAUCAAAUUCUAAGGAAUUUGCUAAUUCAUCAUUUCCACCACACUCACAGCAUGUUUGUUAGAAUUUUAUGUUCAAAUCUCCUUUUUUCUUUAUAAAUGAAUGUGAGAGGAAAUAUGGUUAAAAGCAUCUAUUGAGUAUUUUGCCUUCCCCCUCAUUAAUGCAUGAGCAAUUUGGUCACUUAUGUUAUUUAUAAAUAAAAUUAGGUGACAGAGAAACUUAGUCAUUCUUGAUGGCAAAACUUCAAGUGGUGAAAAAUUUUAAAAUGUUGGUAUUAAUUUUAUUAUUUAACGUGGUUCAAAAUCCAAAAGUACAAAGUUGUAUGGAAUAAAAAGUUUCUCUUCAAAUUUUGUCCCACCGCUGUCCAACUCCUUUUUCAAGGCUAAACCAAUUUUAUCAGUUUCUAGUUCUG